GCAACUCGCCUACAUGAAGUCGGAAUUGCUAGUAAUCGCGGAUCAGCAUGCCGCGGUGAAUACGUUCCCGGGCCUUGUACACACCGCCCGUCACACCAUGAGAGUUGGGGAUACCCGAAGCCUGUGAGCUAACAUUAUGAGGCAGCAGUCGAAGGUAGAAUCAAUGAUUGGGUGAAGUCGUAACAAGGUAGC
rnacentral:rRNA from 1 species